CGGGAGAAAAAUAUUAUUGAUAUAUUGAUAUUAAAUAUGAUACAAUGAGCCCUAUAUAUACACAUAACCUAUCAUUCUCAUAAUACAUAUUGGAUUACGGUUAUUUUAUAUUCUAACACUCCCCUCAAGCUGGUGCAUAUAAAUCAUAUGUAACGAGCUUGUUACAUAUGAGGGACUUGGUGAAAAUGUCUGCAAGCUGAUCAUUUGACUUUACAAACUUUGUAGCAAUA
rnacentral:lncRNA from 1 species